rnacentral:lncRNA from 1 species
CUCGCCGUCGCGGUCGCCAUCGUCGGUCACUUGUUUGUUGUCCGGCAUCGCCCCGCUCGCCGCCGACGCCGGACUAGGACCCGUCUUGCUCUUCCCCUUGAUCGUCUACGCCGCGGCGGCGGUGGUGCUGCUACUCCCGUGCCGUUGCCGCCGGAUCUGGCAUGCCCUCGCCUACCUCACGGUCGCGGUGGUGGCCGUCGUCCUCGGCUGCUGUAUUUUGGCGAGCUUCGUUCCCAUCGCCGUCGACACAGGACUAGGCUUGCUCAUCGUCUUGAUAGUCUACGUGGCGGCCAUGUUCACCCUUGCGGUGGGCGACCUCAGCUUCAUGGCCCUGCUCCUGGGAGGAGAAUAUCCCUGGGACUGCUGAUAGCUCAUGCCCAUGGAUCAGCUCAUGAGGUACUCACGUACUCCCUCCGUUUCUUUUUUGUCUGUAUAUAGGUUUGAUCAAAGUCAAGUUUUGCAUAAUUUGACUAAUUUUAUAUUAAAAAAUAUCAACAUUUAUAAUAUGAAAUCAACAUUUUCAGAUGCAUCAUGAAAUGUAUUUUCAUAUUAUAGUAUAGUUUAAGUAUUGUAGAUGUUUAUAUUUUUUAAUAUAAAUUUGGUCAAACUUUGUGUAGUUUGACUUUAACCAAAACUUAUACGCGGAGUAAAAAAAAACGGAGGGAGUACGUUACGUAAUGAUCGAUUUGCGGGGAAUAUUAAUUAAUAUUGUGGUGCACUUCAUCUGCCUAGUAUUGGACCUUAAUUUGAUGCUGAGUUACCCUGUUAUUUGUGUGAUUGAGAUAUGCUAUUGAGUACGUAGUAUUGCUGAACAAGCUACUCCCUCCUUCCAUUUAUAUAGGGCCUAAUGCAUUUUUUAAGACCGCCUUUGACUAUUGACAAGAUUAAUAAUACAUGACAUGCAUAAUGUGAAAAUUACAUCAUUGAAAGCUCCUUUCACAUAUAAAUGGAGUCUGCUUUGAUGUAGUAUUAAUUGGACCUUUUUCUCUGCAUGAUCAUCGGUAUAUGCGUAGCUUCGGUAUAAUAGAUGUUGGUGAAAUCGUCUAUGUAUGCAUGCACUCAUGUUGUAUUUGGCGUUAAGCAUUUCAUUGUGCUGGCAACAAUUGGCGUAUCAAUGUUGCAUGGAAUAACCAGUCCAUCAGGGAUGAGUUGAGGCCCUCCUUAAUUUUGAUGUCUUGGUUCACUUGGGAGUCAAAAAUCGCCAUUUGCUUAUGGAACAGACCCACACGCUGCGCACUUGUAUGAGCGAGAAAGGCCUUCAUGACUAGUCACUUUAGCGCACAUGCUGACAUGCAUGUAGCUUUCUAGAAGACAUGCAUAAAGUGAGCAGCAUGAAAAUACCCUUUGGCUCCCGCAUGUAUACACACUAUAUAUGAUGAUUUUUUUUAAUAAUUAAACAAAAAGUCAAAAUAGCUCAAAAGUAUUUUUAGAUUAAACUUGACUUACUUGCACACUAGUAUAUAAAUUUUCACAAAAAAAAACAAUGUUGACUUUGCAGAGAAAAAGAUAAAAUAUAUUUGCUAUUAUAGGUCACUAUUCAUGCUAUUUUGACCGAAAAUUUGUCUUUUUUUGAAAAGAAGUCGAAGAGAAAUUUUCUUUUUGUGAAACUUUUCACACUAGUACAAUGAAAAGUCAAGUUUAUUUCAAAAAUAUUUUUAGAAAAUUUUGACUUUUUAUUGAAUUGCUAUUUUUUUUCCCAUAUAGAGUACAUAUGUACUCAGGAAUCAAACUUCCCCUCCGUGAGCAGCAGGGCAAAUCAGCAAUGGCAGGCUACGUGCAUGUUCGGGCUUGCAAAAUGGACAAAUGGUCCGCGGUAACAUGCUAAUGUACAUAGGUCAUCUUCGUCUUGGGCUUCUUCUUUCCAUCUUGUGUUUCUUUUGCGACACAAAAUUAAACAACUAACUGUGGCUUCCAAACUUAUGAGUAUUCGGCGGUGAAUUACGGGCUAUUGCAUCCCAAUUUGCAGGCUAGGAGUAAGCUUUCUCGGAGAUCUUCAGCCCCUGCCGAGACGGCAUCAGCAUUUCAGCAACCUGCUCGAGUCUUGCCGUGUCUACGCCUAUGAAAUCACUCUAUGAUCUCUGACAAUAACUCCACAACCACCUGAAAAGAGUUCAUCUGAAAAGGCUGCAUCAACGUUCGGAAUUUUAUGGCCAGGGGUGUGGCUUCUUCUAGUUUUUCAGACGUGAGAUGGGCUUCAUGUUUAGCUGCUCCCAUUCCCCGUUAGGUGUACAAACUAAAUAACAGAGGUCUUCACUGAUAACCGUUGGUUAGCUGAAUAGUUUGACACGAGUAGUACUCCCUCUGUCCCUAAGUGUCUCAACUUUAUAUUAAAUUUGUGUCAUACAGAAAACUAUUGUGUAUGUAGUAAAAAAGCCUUUCGCCCCGCUUUAUAUAUAAAGCAACAUCCUCAACAACCCGGUACAAACACCCGCCAACACUACACACGUACACAUGAAAGGCAGAAUACAUACGCGCUGAGCACAACAACAACACCCCUAGCGCUACAAGAGCAACCGGGGUCCUCAAGCAUGAACACGCCACCGGGAAGAUAUGAAGCAGCAUGCGACAAACCGUAGGCUCCAAGGCGACGCCUCCAGGAAGGAUACGACACCGGGGCGCCGCCACCGCCCGACCCGACGAUCAGAAUUUGCUCUGGAGCAAUACAACAGGCAAUGAUAGCCGCAACGAUGCCUUCAAGAAGGGAACGAGCUUCCGAACGCCACACCCCGGCGACCACGUGGCCCACACGGCCAUGACCAUCGGGCAGCACCUAACCACGGGCUCUGCUAAUGAGCACCGCGGAACCACCACCAGGGCUGCCGCCCCGACAUCCAAGACCUUGACACCACCUCACUCGAGACCCGCCGCUACCCAACCAAAGAUACGAGCGGAAAGGAGCCUUUCGCACCCUUGGGCUGCCCUAAAGCUGAAACCCAAUAGACCGGCCAAAACUGGUCUCCAUCUACCCGUCAUGUGGCACCGGAUGCGAGACGCGGUCAGUCCUGCUGUUGGGCGCAAGACGAGGUCGAUCCUGCUGUCGGGCGUGAGACGAGCGAUGGAACGUAGCCAGGGGAGGGUCGAACCUUCAACGACGAUAGCGACCAGACGACGAGGACAGGGACUGUAGGUCAAAAUGGACUGCCUACAAAUGAGCCAACGCCAGAAAACCAGUUGUCGCCGCAGCCAACCCGCCGAACUGCCAUGAUAUCGGCUCAGUGAAUGGAAGCCGCCACGCCCAGUGGGCUGAGUCACCUCGCUGCUGCCGCCCACAGUCGGAGCAGCCUCCACGCCGGGCCGCUACCCCAACCAAUGUCGCCCACCGAAAAAAUGCAUCAGAUUCGGAUGGCACACACCCACUACCACCAGCCCCAGCCAACCUCCAGCCCCCGACCGAAACCAGAGGAGAGGAAGGGGGAUACCCACACCGCUACGCCGCCACCUCCGCCAGUAGAUCACCACCGCGAGGACGACCGCCCGCAGCCCGCACCCACCGCGUCUGGGUCUGGUAGCCCGCCUUCACCACACCGGUCGUGCAUCACCAGGGCAUGGCCCGUCAUGCUGUCACCGCACCCGCGCGCCACCACCAGCGCCGAUGCGACGCCAUAGGGUGGAGCCCCACAGAAACACCACCACCAGGUCGUGGGCCGUCGGACCGCGCCGGCCACCUUGCACGAAGAGACGAGAGGGGCCCUGUCGCCGGCGGCGGCGAGCGAAGAGGAGGCAGGAGGAGGGGGCGUUGGCGUAAGCGGUGCGGUCGCCCUCCCCGUUGCCCGCGGGAGGGGAUAAGGUUCCACCGUGGUGGCCUGCCGCCACCAAAUCUGCUCUUUCUGUCAACACUGGUUCACUGUGUAUGUAGACCCAGUUCUUUUGCCAGAUUCUUCUAGAAUCUGGCCCCUACCCAUUUAUUUUACAAUUCUAUCUAGUUAGGGUCUAAUUAGGUAGGAUUGUAAAAUAAAAGAGGGUCAAAGAUUCUAGGAUAAGCCAGAGAGGGGCAGAUCUGCAAAAGAGCUGGGCCGUAAGCUCAUGCUCUGCGUUUGUGGGCCUUCGGCGACUAAUGAGUUGCUACAUGUGCCAUUGGCUUCAUAUGGACCAUGCAAAUUUCAAAAGACCAAACCAAAGUGAACUCUCUGCUGUAUGCAUCAUUUCUACUUGAACAUCUGUAGCCAUCUGCAGAAAAGUAAACUACGCCUCUAACUGUACACUACUACCGCAAAUGGAAUGGACUGGCCUAUGAUUUUUUUUGAGAAUUACUGGGCUAAGAGCCGGAUCCCCUGACGUACGGCCACCUGACGUUGGGCCACUGACGCGUGGGUCCGGGUCCACACGUCAGCGAGUGCGCCGUACGUCAGAGGAGCUGCGUCCGGGUGGGUGGUAGCUGGCAAUGGCAGCAGUAAUGAGCAAGGCAGGCGGGAGCUAAAACGAGCUGAGAGCACCUUCAGCCGGACAUGGUUAAUCCGACCUCUCAAACGCCCGUGCGUCGUCCGCGGACGCGCCCGGACGCGUUCGCGGACAGUGAACGGUCAUACCUCAAAAAAUGCAUUUCACAUUCGGAUAUCUUAAAUUAGAAAUCUUAAAUUCAUAUUAUUAAAUGCAACGUGAAACCUAAAGCGGAGCUCUCCCCGUUCCGCUCUCCGCUCGCCCGGCUAUGCCCCGGCCAUGUCCGAUGGCCGGCUGUGCUCCUCAGAGUUUUGGUUCGGUCGCCGACAAGGUAGAGUAGGGCAUGUAACACAAGCCGGCUCACGGGACUCAAGGCGCCGCCGGGUCCCAUGCCCAACUCUUGGUCGUUGGAGCCCGGGAACCAGAAAGGUGUCGGUGGAUGUCAGAUCGAUGACAUAUUCGUCCUAGGAUGAGUCGCGGACGUCGAGGACGAUGUGGUUGCGGCGCCCGGACUGAUGCGCCAUACAGUGCGCCGGAGAAUGCGACUCCGUCUCACCGACGUCCACCGCCGUGAGGGCUGCUGCCGUCUCCCACGUCCGGUGCCUUGCACGGGGGGCACGUCGUGCCAUGGCCUCGUCGGACGAGGCCCAUCGUGUGUGCCCAUGCUCGGCGCGUCAACGGAGGCGUUGCGCGGCCGCCAGCGCGUUCGGACGCCAGAAGGACCGCACGGCCUCCGGCGAGGCAGUUACAGCUGGCCUAGCGCUUGAUCCAUGCGUCAUUUGGGCGGACGCAAUGGAUUUCCAACGGAAGGAGUCCGAGCGCGGCCAUGCACGGGCCUCUUUCCGGGCGCGAUGGAGCAUAAGCUGGACGUCCAUCUCCUCUUUGGGGCAGCGUGGGAUGAGCUCGGGGGUCGACGGAUCUGAAGGUGAAGGACUUGGAUCCGCUGCCCACCAUGCCGGAGACGGCUGGAAGAAGCCCGAGACGAGCUUGGGUGACGGAGGAGAGUGGAGGGAAGGGGAGUGAAAUGGCUGUCCGGCGAGCGGAUGGGGAGAAAUUUAUGUGGGGUUAGAUGGAUCAGCGCGUGACCCAUGCCCAACAUGGCGGGCUUGCCGGGGCGCAUCCGGGCGCCCCUUAUCCGUCCAGUAUUUCGGCUUGAUAUGAGGGAUGGCAUUCAGUCCGGGCGUUUGGGGGCUGUUUGAGUGGCCACUUGGGCUAAAAAAUCAUGACAGAAUAGUGAACGAGCCGCUUGAGUAUAAAGCGGGUUUGAGGCGCCCAGCUGUAGAGGCUUAAGCUAGCCUUUUACGCGCUGCCCGGGUGCAACACCCCCGUGCUUUCCUGUGUCCCUGCAACGUCGCUGCCAUGAGACGAUAUCACAUGCCGCCGCACCGGACUCUAGACCGCGGAAACUGCUCGACACGUCGCGUCGUGGGUGUUGGGCGUCUCAUCGCAGGCUCGCCACAGCGUUGCUCGACUCGGUAAAGGGGAGGAGCACACCAAGUCUCUAGACGAGAAACAAGAAUUCCUUACUGUGCAACUCCAGUCUGGGCAGCGCGGGCCGACGCGAGCGUCUCACCAAGGUUCCACGAAGCGUUGCUCGGUAUAUGUGGGAGGGGCACACCAAGCUUGCAAGCAAACAGGAAGCGCCGACCAGUUGACGCACGGUGAGUGAAUUCCAUCUUCAUCUUGGUCUUUGUAAGACAAUAGGCUUUGGGGGGAACCGGCACAACCCUCUAGGGGUGGCCUAUCACACACACACACAUAUAUAUAUAUAUAUAUAUAUAUAUAUAUAUAUAAUAAGGUGGUAUACAACGUUACAAUAUACACAUGUAAAUACAGUCUAACACCCUCCCUCAAUCUUAGCCACUUUCUAAUGAAUCUAGAAGGGUAAGAUUGCGCCUGCAAGUCUCAAACUGUGGCAAAGACAAUGGCUUGGUGAAGAUGUCAGCAAGUUGAUCCUUGGAAGAAAUAAACUUGAUCUGUAGUUGCUUCUGAGAGACACGUUCACGCACAAAGUGAUAGUCAACUUCAAUGUGUUUCGUUCGGGCAUGGAAUACCGAAUUUGCAGAAAAGUAUGUAGCACCGAUGUUAUCACACCAAAGAACAGGAGGCUGUGUAUGGGGUAUACUUAACUCCUGAAGCAAGGACUGUACCCAGAUGAUCUCUGAUGUGGCAUUGGCCACAGCCUUAUACUCAGUCUCAGUACUGCUACGUGAGACAGUAGCCUGUUUCCGAGCACUCCAGACAAUCAGGUUAGAGCCAAAGAAGACAGCAUAACCCCCCGUGGAUCGCCUGUCAUCCGGAUUGCCAGCCCAGUCUGCAUCAGAAUAUGCUGAAAGACAACCAGAGUCAGACGGCCGAAUAUGCAAACCAUGAGCCACCGUGAAACGAAUAUAGCACAAAAUCCGCUUAACAGCAGACCAAUGAGUGUCACGGGGUGACUGCAGAUACUGGCAGACUCGGUUAACAGCAUAGGAAAUGUCUGGUCGCGUGAUCGUCAAGUACUGGAGCCCACCAACAAUACUCCUGUACUCUGUCGCAUCAGAAGAAGAAAGAAGCACACCAUCAACAUCAUUGAGCUUAUCAGUGGUAGACAUGGGUGUAGUCGUCGGUUUGCACUUAAGCAUCCCAGCUCGCUGCAACAAAUCCAGAGAGUACUUCUUCUGCGUCAUAACAAGGCCAGCAGCACGAGAAGUAACCUCCACACCAAGAAAGUAAUGAAGCUUCCCAAGGUCCUUGACCGCAAAAUCAGCACCAAGUGAGCGAACAAGCGCAGUAGCAGCCGACUGAGAGGAGCUGACCAAAAUGAUAUCAUCUACAUAGACCAACAAGUACAUAGUAACCUCAGGCCUUUGAAGAAGAAACAAUGAGGAGUCAGCAGUUGAUGAUGCAAAACCAUGAGCACGAAGAGCCAUUGCAAGACGAGCAUGCCAAGCACGAGGAGCCUGCUUCAGACCAUAAAUUGCCUUGGACAGACGACAGAGAUGAUCAGGGCGAUCCGGAUCAGAGAAACCCGGAGGCUGGCGCAUGUAAACCUCCUCCGCCAAGACACCAUGAAGAAAAGCAUUUUGAACAUCAAGCUGACGAAGAAACCAACCUCGAGUAACAGCCAGAGAGAGAAGAAGUCUGAUGGUAGUAGGCUUGACCACUGGAUUGAAGGUGUCUUCAUAGUCAAGUCCAAAACGCUGUCGAAAACCACGAGCAACCAGACGAGCCUUAUAGCGCUCAAUGGACCCAUCAGAAUGCCUCUUCACUUUGAAAACCCAUUUGGAAUCAAUGACAUUUACCCGUGAUUGUGGAGGAACAAGAGUCCAUGUCUGAUUGCGAAGAAGCGCUUGAUACUCCUGCUCCAUGGCCUCUCUCCAAUGGGGAAUGCGCAUAGCAGCUUGAUACGUGCGUGGCUCAGAGGAUGGAUCUGCGAGAGCAGCAGACAUGCACGCCGCUAACCAAGCAACUGUGCCAUCGUGACGUUGCUUAGGCUGAAAAAUGCCACUCCGACUGCGCGUAUGUGGACGUAGAGCAGCAGCAGGAGCCGGCGGAGGCGAAGGUGACGGAGACGUGACGGUCGCCGGAGAUGCAGGAAUCACCUCAGGCGAGCUCGGGACAGACGACUCCGGGCUGCAUGGCGAAGACUGGCCCGACGACAGGGGCUCAGAGGCCAUGGGCGAACCGAGAGUGGGCGAGGCCAGCUCCGGUGACACCGGCCCAGACGGCCUUGGCGAGGCGAGAGCAGGCGAGGCCGGCCCUGGUGAGAAGGGCCCAGUCACCCUGGGCGAGGCAGGGGCGGGCGAGGCCAGGCCUGGUGAUGACUGCCCCGACGCCCUGGGCGAGACGGGGACCGAGGAGGCCGGCCCAGUCGGCGGGGUUGCAGGGCGCGACGAUGGCGAAGGCAGCCCAGAAGCCAGAGGCGACCGGGCCAGGACGUUGAUCGGCCGUGCAUGAGCACGGAAAAUGAGGCCAUGCAGGGGCGCCAUGUGCUCCUCAUGCACAACAGAAGGUGCCGAGGAUGAAGGCGAUGGCGACGAAGAGGAAGAUGGCACUUCCAGAAUCUCCAAAUGAGCCCCACGACCAGUGCCUGCACCAUGGUUAGGCAACAAUAGAGGAGAAUAUGCAACAUCAUCAAAUUGGUCAGAAGCAACAGAGGAUGAAUGCAUGACAGGUGGCUCGGUAGUGGACACAGGGAGUUUGGCAAAGGGAAAAACAUGCUCAUCAAACACAACAUCCCGAGAGAUGUAGACACGAUUAGUGGGCACAUGAAGACAUUUGUAUCCUUUAUGAAGAGAGCUAUAACCAAGAAAAACACACUUCUUGGAACGAAACUCGAGCUUACGCUUGUUAUAUGGACGGAGAUGGGGCCAGCAAGCACACCCAAACACCUUGAGAAAGGUGUAGUCCGGUUGUUCAUUAAGGAGAACUUCAAUGGGAGUCUUCAUAUUCAAAACACGAGUGGGAGUACGAUUGAUGAGAAAACAUGCAGUGGUGAAAGCAUCACUCCAAAAACGAAACGGAACAGAUGCAUGGGCCAAAAGAGUCAGACCAGCUUCAACAAUGUGACGAUGCUUACGUUCUACUGAACCAUUCUGCUGAUGUGUAUGUGGACAUGCUAAACGGUGAGUGAUCCCAAGCGACUGAAAGAAGGAGUUGAGGUUGCGAUACUCGCCACCCCAGUCCGACUAAACAUGAACAAUUUUGUGCUUGAGAAGGCGUUCAACAUGUUUUUGGAACUGAACAAAAAUGUCAAACACAUCAGAUUUACGUUUGAUAAGAUAAAGCCAGGUAAAGCGGCUGUAAGCAUCAACAAAACUGAUAUAGUAAUUAUGACCACUAACAGAAGUCUGAGCAGGACCCCAUACAUCUGAAAACACAAGUUCUAAAGGAUGUUUCACCUCACGACUGGACUCCGAAAAAGGAAGUUGAUGACUCUUCCCCUGCUGACAAGCAUCACACACUGCUACAUCUUUAUUACUAGACACACUAGGAAGCUCAUGACGACGCAAAACAUGCCGGACAAUAGGUGUGGCCGGGUGACCAAGACGAGCAUGCCACUGUGACGGAGAUACCCGAACUCCACUGAAGACGCGAGCGACGCCAGGAUGCUCCAGACGAUAGAGACCUUGGCAGAGCCGCCCACUAAGAAGAAUGUCCCUCGUGCCCCGAUCCUUAAUAAAAAGAUCAAAAGGAUGAAAUUCACAAAGCACAUUAUUAUCACGAGUGAGUUUAGGAACUGAAAGAAGAUUACGUGUCACAGAUGGAACUCGAAGAACAUUGCAAAGUUGAAGACUCCUAUUGGCAUGUCUAGUGAGAAGUGAUGCUUGACCAAUAUGAGAGAUGUGCAUACCUGCUCCAUUGGCGGUGCGGAUCUUGUCGGAGCCAUGGUAGGGUUCACGAGUGUGAAGCUUCCCCAUCUCACUGGUCAGGUGCUCUGUCGCCCCAGAGUCCAUGUAUCAGUGGGGGUCAAUGGAGUAGGACUGAGUGUGUCCCUGCGGCUUCUGCGGCGGCGGACGAUCAGCCAUGGCGACCUGACGUGCAAAGUUGCGUGUAUCCUUCCCGUCAUUGCCGAGACCAAGAAAACCCCGCUGGAAGCGCUUGUGACACUUCGAGGCCCAGUGCCCAUCGCGACCACAAAGCUGGCACACACGUGGACCGCCAGCCCCUGGUAGCGUCGCAGUAGGAGGAGGGGCCGAGGCGGGUGGUGGUGACUGCCCCGAAGAAGCCCUGGAUGAAGCAGAGGAGCGACCACCCUUGGUGGCGGCGUUUGCCGAGAGGGCGCCGUUGCCCCUGGAUCGGCGCGUCUCGACUCGUUGCUCAGUAAGCAGGAGGCGUGAAAAGACCUCGUGUGCUGGCAUGGGCGUGGAGUUGCCCCUCUCAUUGAUGAUCUCGACUAGGGCGUCAUACUCCUCAUCAAGACCAUUGACAAUAAACGAGUUGAACUCGGAGUCGGUGAGGGGCUGUCCAAUGGAGGCCAGCGUGUCGGCGAGACUCUUGACUUUGUUGUAGAACUCAGUGGCGGUGGAGUCAAGCUUCUGACACUCCCCAAGUUGGCGACGGAGCCCAGAUACACGAGCCUGCGACUGUGCCGCAAACGAGCGCUCAAAAAUAGUCCAUGCCUCGUGGGACGUCUUGGCGAAGACAACAAGCCCAGCAACGGCCGGAGAGAGCGACCCCUGGAUGGAGGAGAGGUUCGCCUGAUCCUGCCCUGUCCAGACACGGUGAGCCGGAUUAUAGACCGGACCGUGCACGCUGUCAACCAGCGCGGGAGGGCAAGGGAGAGAGCCGUCGACAUAGCCAAGCAGAUAGUGACUCCCAAGAAGCGGAAGAACCUGCGCGCGCCAGAAGAUGUAAUUGUCCGACGACAACUUGAUGGUGAUGAGAUGGCCGAAGUGAAACGGCGGCGGCGGCUGCGAUCCCAUCGAGGAGACUGGCUGAGGUGAGACCACCGUGGAGACAGUCAGAGGGGCAGCCGGCGCGGUGACAGAGGGCGCGAUGGCCGCGUUUGACGCCGCGAAGCCUGCCAGCGCGACGUCCUCCGCCACCAGCGGCGCAGUGGUCGAGGGCACGACAGCCGCGGUUGACGGGGCGGCGGCGGUGUGGGCCACAAGCGCCUGCCCGGGCGAAGUAGCAGCCGGCGGGAGCGCGAAGAGGGAGCCGACGCUCCGUGUCCCGAUCGGCGCCUGAAGGGAGGCGGCAUCCAGCGGCCUCGAGAGAAGUGCCGCGAGGGAGGCCGGCAGAAAACCGGUGGCGGUGGAGCCGGACGCAGCGGCGGACGUCAUAGCAGUCGGGCGACGGCGACGGCGGGCGCCGCGGCGGCGGCGGCGUCGGCGGCGGUUUAGGGUUUUAGGCGGAAGCGGACGUAACCUAGCGUGAUACCAUGUAAGACAAUAGGCUUUGGGGGAACCGGCACAACCCUCUAGGAGUGGCCUAUCACAUAUAUAUAUAAUGAGGUGGUAUACAACGUUACAAUAUACACAUGUAAAUACAUUCUAACAGUCUUCUUCUUCCUCUGCCUUCCCUGUGCGUACCUUUCUUGCUGAUAUCUUCCGGCCAGGCUCGAUCCAUGGACUCCUCGCAGAAACACCUUGGAUCCAUGGAUGCCAAGAUGCCUCUUCUGCUGUUUGUGACCCAGGCCAAGAAGCCGAUGGCCGCUUGUCCGCUCCAGGAUGCUACCCUCCUGGCCAGCGCUUGGGCGCUCGUCACCGCAGGCCUCUUCGCCGUCUCCUACGCCUUGGGCUCCCAAGUCGUGGACGCGCUCUGCAUCCAGCAGGUAACAACGACGGCUCCUGCUUCUAGUUCAACUACCCCGGCCCUUUGCCGGCCUGAUGCUGGAUCUACCACGCGCCAAGUUCGUCUUCCUCUUCGUGCAGCUGCCGUGGUGCGAUUUCCGCGAGGAGAACGCCGUGGAACGCUCCCUCCGGAUCGGCCUGUGGUGCUGCGCCGUGCUCCAGGCGGCCACGGCGGCGCUGGCUCUGCUGCUCCCGUGCCGGCGCCACCGCCGGAUCCGCCGUGCCGUUGCCUACCUCGCCGUCGCGGUCGCCAUCGUCAGCCACUGUAUUUUGGCCAGCCUCGUCCUCCUCUCCGCCGACGCAGGACUAGGGUACCUCUUGCUCAUCCCCUUGAUCGUCUACGCCGCGGCGGCGCUGGUGCUGCUACUCCCGUGCCGUUGCCUCCGGAUCCGCCAUGCCCUCGCCUGCCUCACCGUCGCGGUGGCGGUCGCCAUCCUCGGCUGCUGUAUUUUGGCGAGCUUCGUCCCCAUCGCUGCCGACACAGGACUAGGCUGGCUCAUUCUUUCGGUCGUCGGCCCGGCGUUCAUCUUCACCCUUGCGGUGGGCGACCUCAGCUUCCUGGCCCUCCUCCGGGGAGGGGAAUUCCCCUGGGAGUUCCGCUGAGGAGUAGCUGCUGAUCGGUCAGCCGCAAGCUCAUGCCCAUCGAUCACCUCAUGAGGUACUGACGCACAUAACGAUCGACUUGCAGGGAAUAUUAAUAUUGCGGUGCACUUCAUCUGCCUAGUAUUGGACCUUAAUAAUUUGAUGCUGAAUUAGCCUAUUAUUUGUGUGAUCGAGAUAUGCUAUUGAG